CAAAGAAUAGUUUAGUUUAGAAUCUUAGCUUUGGGAGUUAAGGGUGAGAGUUAAAAUCUCUUUUCUUUGA
rnacentral:tRNA from 1 species